CGGUGUAGCUCAGUGGUAGAGCUACUGAUUUGUAAUCAGUGGGUCGGGGGUUCAAAUCCCUCCGCCG
rnacentral:tRNA from 1 species